rnacentral:rRNA from 1 species
AUUGAACGCUGGCGGCAGGCCUAACACAUGCAAGUCGAACGGUAACAGGAAGAAGCUUGCUUCUUUGCUGACGAGUGGCGGACGGGUGAGUAAUGUCUGGGAAACUGCCUGAUGGAGGGGGAUAACUACUGGAAACGGUAGCUAAUACCGCAUAACGUCGCAAGACCAAAGAGGGGGACCUUCGGGCCUCUUGCCAUCGGAUGUGCCCAGAUGGGAUUGGCUAGUAGGUGGGGUAACGGCUGACCUAGGCGACGAUCCCUAGCUGGUCUGAGAGGAUGACCAGCCACACUGGAACUGAGACACGGUCCAGACCCCUACGGGAGGCAGCAGUGGGGAAUAUUGAACAAUGGGCGCAAGCCUGAUGCAGCCAUGCCGCGUGUAUGAAGAAGGCCUUCGGGUUGUAAAGUACUUUCAGCGGGGAGGAAGGGAGUAAAGUUAAUACCUUUGCUCAUUGACGUUACCCGCAGAAGAAGCACCGGCUAACUCCGUG